AGCAAACUCAAAUCUAAUAGCACAAAUUACACAAUAUCACAAAUCACAAAAAUAAAAGCUCCCCUAACACAACAAGGACGAGAGAAAGAAAGUCCCCUAACACAACUGGGACAUGAAGAGCAUGCUAAAAAACAUUCACCUAACACAGCAGGCACCCUUCCAGCAAAAAUUUCACCAAAAAUGCUCCAAAUAUCUCUGCACCAAAAAAUAGUAAUUAACCCCGAAGAUUUUUGGUGAAAUUGAAAGCCCAUUAUAACCAAUUAAAAAGAAUAAAAUCAACAAUUUCAGUCGAUGGAGAAAUUGAAAGAAUAAUUGGAUGAGCACGAUGGAAAUGAUGGACAAAAUUAGAGUAAUAACUGGAAUGAAAUCUGACCUGAGAUCAACGGAAAUGGAGAUCUUCAAUGCGGAUGAAGAGAAACAAGAGAGAAAAGUUGCGAAAGGGAGAGAGAGUGUGAAA
rnacentral:lncRNA from 1 species